rnacentral:rRNA from 1 species
GAGUUUGAUCCUGGCUCAGGACGAACGCUGGCGGCGCGCCUAACACAUGCAAGUCGAACGGAGCUUAGAGAGCUUGCUUUUUAAGCUUAGUGGCGAACGGGUGAGUAACGCGUGAGUAACCUGCCCUAGAGUGGGGGACAACAGUUGGAAACGACUGCUAAUACCGCAUAAGCCCACGGUACCGCAUGGCACUGAGGGAAAAGGAUUUAUUCGCUUUAGGAUGGACUCGCGUCCAAUUAGCUAGUUGGUGAGGUAACGGCCCACCAAGGCGACGAUUGGUAGCCGGACUGAGAGGUUGAACGGCCACAUUGGGACUGAGACACGGCCCAGACUCCUACGGGAGGCAGCAGUGGGGAAUAUUGCACAAUGGGGGAAACCCUGAUGCAGCGACGCCGCGUGAAGGAAGAAGUAUCUCGGUAUGUAAACUUCUAUCAGCAGGGAAGAUAAUGACGGUACCUGACUAAGAAGCCCCGGCUAACUACGUGCCAGCCGCCGCGGUAAUUC